rnacentral:rRNA from 1 species
AUACGGAGGGUGCAAGCGUUAAUCGGAAUUACUGGGCGUAAAGCGUACGUAGGCGGUUUAUUAAGUCAGAUGUGAAAGCCCGGGGCUUAACCUGGGAACUGCAUUUGAAACUAGUAGACUAGAGUAUGGUAGAGGGGGGUAGAAUUCCUAGUGUAGCGGUGAAAUGCGUAGAUAUUAGGAGGAAUACCAGUGGCGAAGGCGGCCCCCUGGACCAAUACUGACGCUGAGGUACGAAAGCGUGGGGAGCGAACAGGAUUAGAAACCCCGGUAGUCC